AUUCAGCUGACGAGUCCCUAAUAAAACGAAACGCAUAUCCUGAAU
rnacentral:hammerhead_ribozyme from 1 species